ACAUAAUAUGGACAAGGGAACUGAUGUGGUUGAUGUAAGCUUCUAGAUUCUGAUUUUAAAUUGUGUCUUCAGUUCUGAUGCUUAUCAUAUGACAAUGCCUCACCCUGAAGGUAGAUCAAACAACCCUCUUAUAUAUGAGGCAUGAGCUUGUGUAUUUAACCACCAGGUUGUAUGUAUGGUUAUUAGGUAGCAUGUCAUAUUAUGCAUUGAGAAGGCGUUAUCUCAGUCUGAUGUGGCGAGGGAAGACGUGAACUAUAUCGCACAUGCUACAUCAACACAAGCAUGCAACAGUAAAGAAUACCAAGAGCCGCUGGUGAUGUGGCAGGUAUUUCAACAAUACAGGUGAUACGGACAAGAUGGGUACAUCCAAAUCUUAACCUUUACCAUCCGGACAAUGAUGUGAUAUCAUGAGAAGCUUUGGAGCUAAGUUUUAUGAUACUGGAAUUUUCACC